CAAUAGCGUAUAUUAAAGUUGUUGCAGUUAAAAAGCUCGUAGUUGGAUUUCUGCUGAGGACGAUCGGUCCGCCCACUGGGUGAGUAUCUGGCUCGGCCUUGGCAUCUUCUUGGAGAACGUUGCUGCACUUGACUGUGUGGCGCGGUAUCCAGGGCUUUUACUUUGAGGAAAUUAGAGUGUUUCAAGCAGGCGCACGCCUUGAAUACAUUAGCAUGGAAUAAUGAGAUAGGACCUUGGUUCUAUUUUGUUGGUUUCUAGAGCUGAGGUAAUGAUUAAUAGGGAUAGUUGGGGGCAUUCGUAUUUAACUGUCAGAGGUGAAAUUCUUGGAUUUGCUAAAGACGGACUACUGCGAAAGCAUUUGCCAAGGAUGUUUUCAUUGA
rnacentral:rRNA from 1 species